AUGACGUGGAAGACGCCGACGGCCGCAUGGCCGUGCGACUUGGCGGAGUGUAGCCACUGCAGCGCCGUCUCCGCGUGGCGGGCAGCGUCAGCGCGGUGGAGUUGCCACCUGUCCCACCAGCACGGCGUGUUGGCUUGGAGACCGAUGUGCGCAACGCAGAGGGAGAAGACGUUGCCCAGUACGGCGUGGAACCUGCUGAUGCGCUUGAUCCGGCCGAUGGCGAGGUCGAUGAUGAGGCCGCCUGCUGAAGCGCCCUGGCCGGUGUUGGGCAGGGGAUGCACGCCCGGGCGGAAUCUGCGACAGUCCUCGGCGGCCAGGCGGUACUGCUGGCGGGCGCCAUUGAUGGCCUCGACUACUGCAUUCGUCUCGUUGAUGUAG
rnacentral:rRNA from 1 species